UAUUGAGCUACGGCCCCUUUGUUUAUUUCUAGGGAAACUUUAUUGCACAUCUCCAAGUAUAUUUAUUCUGCUCCCUGACUUCGCCCCCGAGAGUGCGAGAGCGAGCGUUGCCCUAACUUGGAGCGACGAUAGGAUAUCAGGUAAUUCACCAACUUAUUGCAGAAGGAGGCAACAAGCUUGAGGUAGUAGCUGCAUAAUCUGCAAGAAGUUCUGUGGGUGAAGUGAGCAUACCUAUGAGUUUCUUGCAAUUUAUGCAAUUGCUGCCUCAAGCUUGUUGCCUCCCUUUGCCAAAACUGUAAGUACAAAGCCCAGGUUUAGCCACACUAGAUAUUUCUUGGUAUUGCUAGAUUUAUAUUUUCACAGUUAACUAGGCUUCGAAAAUAAUCAUCCUAUAAGGUGAAGUGGUGAACUAUAAUCUGAAUUCUGAAAUUCAAUUGUGAGGUAUGGCAUCAAACACUGAAGAAUCUAUUUGUUAAAGCUCCUAAAAACAUGUUAAGUUAUUUCAGAUUCCUAUAAUAAUAUGAUUUUGUUUUUCUAAUCAGUUUGUUGUCUUAUGUCAAUGUUUUGGACCUUUGAUUGUGAUUCAAUUGUUGCCACUUUUUGGUGGUUUGUUUAUCAUGUAAAAUUAACCACCAAUCUGGAUAUGCAGCAAACUUGGAUUUUUUCUGAUAGCUAAUAAGUGGAGUAAUCUCGAUUUAGGAGUAUGAUCAUGACAUUUGAAAAUGUUAUAUGGCUUGAGUGGUAGACAUGUAGUAUAACUUGGAUAUUCAUUUGACUCAGAAGAAGGUAGAAACUUUGAGAGAUAAAUAAUUUCUAUACAUGGAACAAAUACAAAUAUGAUCUGAAGUAGCAGUUACAAACAAGUAAAAGAGCUCAAGUUGCAAUCUAUACAUUACUAAAACCUAGAGAUUCUUUGGAGAAGCCUUAGGUUCUCUUCAUUGAUUCGCAGUUCCAAACCAACUUAGCUUGGCUCAUUUUUCCUUUACGAGAUCUUGGCAAGGAUUCUGGUGUUUUUGUGAUUAACCAUACGAACUGUCUUCUUCUCGACUUUCCUUUCCUAUCUAAUAUAAUAAUGGUAGAUAUGGCAUCAUGUUUUUCGUCUCGGAUCAUACAAAUAAAUGAUUGCUCAAUCUAUUGUCAACCUCUUUGGACAACAAAAACAUAGGAUCUUUGGUCACCAUUAGUGCUGCUGUUUGUUUUCACAAAUUUGGACCUCACAGUUGGAACCAAGGUAUACAGUUUCGAAUAAUACCGCCCAUACCGAACGAUACGUAUCGGUCCGUCAGUUGAUCGGUAUACGAAUCGCCCAUUAUCGAACGGAAUAUAUAUAUAUAUAUAUAUAUAUAUAUAUAUAUAUAUAUAUAUAUAUAUAUUUAAUGUAUAAAUAUUUUUAUAAAAAGCGACGUCGCCCCGUGUGGGAGAAGGAAAAUGCGACGUCGCCUUUUAUAAAUAAAUAAAUAAAUAAAUAAAUAUAUAUAUAUAUAUAUAUAUACACAUACCGAACGGUAUACCGCUCAGUAUAUAGUAUCAUACCGAGCGAAUGUCGAAACUCUGGUACGGUACGAUAUUUCAAUCCUUGGUUGGAACCAUGGAGCAAAGUCUUGCUAUCCUCACAAUUCACUAUCAUCAUGUUUUUCAUCCUGGGUGGUAUGAGUAAAUGAUUGCUCAAUCUAUUGUCAGCAAAAACAUAGGAUCUUUGGUCACCAUUAUUGCAUCUGUUCGCCAUUGUCAUUUUGGAUCUCACAAUUAGAACUUGGGGAGAAGUCUACCAUCCUUUUUUUUCCUUCUGAUCUCUUAGUCAUCAAUGAUGUCUGAUGAGUCAACUGAUUGCAAUGUGCCUCUAGCUUUGCUGCGCCUUGUAUAUGAUUAAAACUAGUUUCCAAUAGUACAUAGAUGAUUAUAACUAGCUUCCAAUAGCAUGACCUAUGGAAGAGAUUUUUGAGGCUUAACCAUGCCUUACAAUUCGAGUUCAGAUAUUCUACUAUUGUUCACGUAUUGGGCCAUCUCGUCUUAUUGGUUCUCUCUAUAAAUUGUUCAGAAAUGAGCUUUGAUGGGUGUGGUCAAUCUGCCAUCUCAUCAAAUAAUAAUCUGGUUUCUCAGCUCUACACAUUCAAUGCAUCAAAGGGUAUAAGUCUAGGGUUCCAAUUUCGCGUACGGUAUGUGCCGAGUUUCAGAAAUAAAAAAAAACUUAAAAAAGACUGCAUAGUAAAAAAAAGUACUGGUCCUGUACCAUAUGGUAUGUGUGGGUACAAGUUGGGUAUGGGGAUAAUGCUCGAUUUACCUCUGUGUGUCAAUAAUCAAUUAGACUGGUAUUCACCACUUGUAUCGAACCGUACUGUAUUGGGUGGAUAUUGGAAACUUUGAUAUAAAUCAUUGGUGACAAACUAUGAGUCAAAUGGUUUUUAUUUGGCCUCGUCGUUGUCCUAUCCUUGGUUAUAUGAUGCAGCCAUUUAUGCAUGUAAUAGUGCCCAAAAUCUUUCUUUUCCAAGUGUCAAUAUAAAAGGUGAUUGCAAUAUGUAUGAAGUAGAAAGUGGUUAAGUAUACUCGCAACCAUUGGAUGACGUAGUUUGUGAUAGGAAUUAACGGACAAUUUUCUUUGAGGUGCAGAUCAUGUGAAUUCAUUACUCAUCUACACAAUUACAAUUAUAAAACAUAUUAUAGGAACACAUUUUGUUUAGUAUUGUGUGAAAUGUCAUGUUGUUAUGGGAUCCAUGUCAUAUAAAUAUGAAAUUGUGUUGAAUUCUUAUUGAUAUUGUUGUAGGCUAAUCAAAAUAGACGCCCCUAAAGGUAAAAAAUAGGGUAAGUCAAUUGAUACUAUCUCUGUGAGAUAAAAAUUAACAUGAUCAGAUACUUCACCUCACUAAUAGUAGCUGUUGCACUUUCUAUAUUUUGUUCUAAGGUUCUAUCUGAUGAUGACCCUGCAAAGAGUGAACAAGUCACCAAGACAGGGUCAUAUCAAUUUUGGUAUGUUAAAUUUAGGUAGUAAGCUACAAUAGGCCACUUUUCUUUUGCCAGACAAUAGGCCACUUUGACCCCCCAAAAAAAAAAAAACAAAAAAGAGACAAUAAGCCACCAUUUGAUAUUGAAAAUGUUAUAAUUUUAUGGAUAAAGAGAUUAAAACAAUUAAGAUCGCUUGAAAUUUGAUUAUCCCAUCUCCAAAAAUGAUAUGAAGGUAAAGAUUAUUUCAUUUGUUGGAAAAGCCACUUGAAUCUUUCUUUGCUUGAUCAAAUUUAGUGACCCUCGUUCAUAGGAUCUCCCUUCUAUGAAUCUUUUCGUUGAGGCAUGCACUCGUUGAUGGUUGUUGAUAAAACAAAUUAUUUCUUGUGCCUUGUCCAUUGUUUUCUUCACGUGGGAUGUCAUCAAUGUCGAUCAUAAGGUCGAUAUGAUAUAUGGUACAUGGCCUAAAUUGAUUUAGAUGUGUAUUUAUCAAUUCAUCGAUUUCUUAAUUGGUGCCAUUAUCCAUUGCCACCUGGAGUAUUUAGUGUGAUUUCCAAUAUCAUCUACAAUAGUCUCUGAUGGGUCAAUGAUGUGAUUAAUCAAUGGACUUAUGGUACACGACUUCCUAUCAUGGCUAGGAAGUUGAUGAUUAUUACCCUAGUGGGUUUUGAUUAGCUACCACAUGUAAGAAUCAUACCAUAGAGAUCUUGUUGCAUCUUGAAGUAACCUUGACCAUGACUCGGUUUGAAUCGAUCUGGAACCGGAACCGAACUGGCCCAACAGUUCAUUGGCUCCAAAUGGAGUCGAAAUCGGUACCGAGUAGUUCAGUUUCGAAUUUUGGGUUGGGAAACCGGAACCGAUGGUUCAAAAAGAAAAUAAAAAAGGCCCGAUCGAUGUUGGGCUUGAUUGAUCGUUGGGGCUCAAACGGUCGGCUCAAUGCUCCACCGCUUGGAUAGAGGGGCAAAUGACCAGUUUGUCCCUUGCAAUAGACAUAUAAUUGUUAUUUUCUAGGGGUAUUUUGGUUAUUUCGUAAUUAAAAUAUAAAAAUAUGAAAAAUAUUUAAAAAAAUUAGCGGUUCAAACCGAAACCAGCUGUUCCAGUUCUGAUUCCAGAAAACAGCCCAGUUUGGUUUGGUUCUUGGUUUUUGGAAACCAAAACUCCUCGUUUUGUAAUCAGGGUCAGGGCUAUCUUGAAGGAUUUUAUCCAUAUGCAGAAUUCACCAACUUGAUCAGCAAGAUAUCUUUCUGCAAUAUUGAUUUGGAGGCUUUGUUUAUCAAUUGUAUUUCUAGAUGGACAUUAUAGAUAUAUAAUGUGUUGGAAGAUGCAAAAGGAGGGUUGAGAAUUAAAAUUGAAUCACUAUGAGAGUGCCUGUCUAUCAUUCUUGUUCUCAUGGGUAUAUCAUUGAUCUUAGUGGUUUUGACACUGAGAAUUGAUACUAUGGGGUCAAUAUCAACCAUAUAUGGUAUUGAUGUCUUGUUUAAAGGGACCCCCUGCUAGGGAUUGGAAUGUGAUUGACCUCAUCAUAUACUGUUCUUGAAUGUGGAGCACCACCAGUUGUAUCAUCAUCACUAGCACUCCCCGUAUUGGUUAUCCUGAUAAACUGAUGGGCACCAUAUUUAAGGUCCAAUAAUGUAGUUGCUACCAUUGCCACUGUUAUGCUCAUUGGAAUGGUCGCAAAGUAUGUCUGUGCCUCUUCGUCUGCUCAUACAUUUAAUAGUGCUUCAUUGAUUACAAAUGUUGACAGCAAUCUCAGGGUCAUUAACAACAUCAUCGUUGACUCAUACUGAUCAUAGGCAUGCUGCUUAGAUGCCUGCCUAUCAAGCUCCUCUGCAAAUGUUUGUUCUGCUCGAGAUUUUUUCUAUUCCCACUCUACCUCGAAAGUCUUUCUGAUUUCUUAAGGGAUUGGUGUGCGUUUGGCCAUGUCAAGAUGUCCAUCAGGCAAAUGUUACUUCAGCCUUCUUAUUCCUCGACCAUGAGCAACAAAGUCAUAGUAGUUCAUACCAAAUGUUAAUUCUUGUGGUGUGCACUAAGUGAUCAAUGUGUUGCCAUGUUAGAUCAGUAUUUUACUAAACCUUUUCUGACACAUUCCUAUAUACUACAUGAACAACAAAUUUAGCAUACACUUGGAUUGUUGUGGGUGCAGGCCAGAUCUGCCUCAAUUUUGGUCAUCUACGAGGAGAUAAACCAGAUCCACACAAGUCUAGCAUCAAUUUGUAUAUAUAUAGGUCGGUCCUGAUGGAAGUAGCCUAGAUCUGUAUGUAUCUAGAUCGAAUUUGCAUGAACUUAGGUCAAACAUGAAAAUCUAGCAUAGUCUGACACUGAUGUAGACCAGAUCCUAUGUAUGUUCAAGUAAUCUAUGUUGGAAAAAUGUUAAUUAUGUGUAGAUCAAGCUUCAAUUGAAUGAAGAAAGCAUCUUCAAGCAAAACAUGGUAAGAUUACGUGUAGAUGAAUAAAAAUUUAAGUAAAAAUUUGAUUCAAAAGAAAAAUAUGCAAUGAAAUUAUAGAAAUAUCUUCAAAUUUACCUUGAUUUGAGAACAAUGCAAACUCUGCCUUGAAAUCCAAUCUUUGGAUGAUACACCAAGAGAAUGAAUAAAUUAAAGGAAAAGGGAUCUUUUGGUUUGAUAAUAAAAUUACGUAUGAUACACCAAAACAUAGUAAGAUCACGUAUAGAUGAAUAAAAUUUAACUAAAAAAUUGAUUCAAAAGAAAAAUAAGCAAAGAAAUUAUAGAAAUAUCUUCAAAUUUACCUUGAUUCAAGAACAAUGCCAACUCUGGCUUGAAAUCCAAUCUUUUGAUGAUAAAUCAAGAGAAUGAAUAAAUGAAAGGAAAAGGGUUCUUUUGGUUUGAUAAAAACGAGGGGGGCUGCUAGUUGAAGAAAUAGAAUUGGCAUAGUUUGGGAACAACCUACCACUUGGUACAACUAGUCUGCUGGUUCAAAUCAGUGAAAUGCCAGGCAUGAACCAGUAUUGAUCGGUUUCCAUGGAGCCAUAUAUUGGUUCAUGGUUACACCUGUCCAUUCAAAUCUAAAUUACGAGUUUGAUUGGUUUUUAACAUUGUAUGAGAAUUGCUAUUAGCAUUAGUUGCAAAUGGAAUGUUAGCAAUUGUCUGAUCACUAUAAUUUCACAUUAUGACUCAAUUAUGGGUUUUUUGUCUUUACAAUUGUUGCAUUCAUAAUUUUCAGGCUGAAUGUUCAUGAUGUAUUUUGUUUACUUCUAAUUUUCAUUGAUGAAAGCAUGCUUUUGAAAUGCAAAGCACUGUACGGGUAGUUAUGUCAUCAUAUAUUGCAUAUGCAGUAUGCUGGUGUAUAUGCAAGGACACCUAUGAGUUAUUGUUUAAAAUAUACAUAACUUUUCAAUAUCCAAAAAAAGAAAAAAAUCAGUUAAAUAUUUUCACGCAAUCUAGAUACACUUAAUGGUAAAUGACAUUAUAUCUUAACACAUUGGAGGAUCGUAAGGUAAGUCAAUACACAAAACUACAAUAAAUAUGUACAAAUUUUCUAAAGAAUUUAUUGCUCGUGACAGAAAUUUUUAUUUGAGGGAUAAAUAUAAGCUUAUUUUAGAUCAUUAAACAUUAUGCAGUUUUUCAAGCCUAUUGAAUUAAGGUUUUAAGGAAAGGAUGAUAAUGUUUUAUGGAUUAAAUAAGGGCUUAAGUUGUCUAUUGCUUGCUAAAUAAUUUAUGAAUACAAUGUUUUAUUUUGUUAUUGUUCAUACAAUUAACAAUCACCUUUUCAUCUAUAUCUUUAUACAUUUAAUUUUACUGAACUCCUUUUUUUUUAUCUGUAGCUUUACAAUCUAAUAAAUUUCUUUUUCCCCAUCCUUAGAACUUAGCUUGCUGCAAAAACUUUCAUGUUUUUUAUUUUUCCAACCAUAUAGUUUUUCUCUUUUUAGCUACUAUAUGUCUUCUAAAAUUCUUCUCGUUUCUAAUGAUUUUACCAAUCUUUAAUGCAUGUUUUGUAUUAAUGGCCUUCUGAAUUUUUUUAAUCCCACCAACGCUUUUCCUGGAUCAUCAUUUCUACCUUUAGAUUCUUCAACAAUCUCCUUUACCACACUCUUAAUCUUAGUGGUUAUUGAAGUUACUCCCAUUUAGAUUCCGAACGUCUUCUUUCUUCAUCCUACAUUUUAAAAGCCUUGUAUUAUUAUCUUUGAAAUUCUAUUAUCUAGUUCUUACAAAACUAUUUCCUACUAUUUGCUGUUUAUUUCCUAAAGCACCAUCAAUAUAUGUUGAUUUCUCUAUAUUUCUGUUGGCACAGCUUUAUGAUCCUUUCCCUAUUUACCUCUUGUCUUCAUCUCUCUUUCUGUCAAAAUCUUCUUUGCCAUGUGGGACCGUUCAACCAUAUUGGUCUGUUGAACUGCCAUCAUGGUAUAGGUAUCUUGAAAGGAGACUAUGACUGUAAGCAAAAUGUUGUUGUGGCUGGUUCUCUCCUUCGAGGUCUUGUGAGAACAAGAAGCCAAUAUUUAUCUGUCUAAAUAUGACAAGAAACCACAUAGGCAGUGAUUUAAGACACAUAUUGAUCAAUUCAAUUGCUUAUAUGUAAGUUCUAAGGAUCAUAGAAGUCAACAUCAGCAGCAAGAAAAUGGUAGUGUUGUUUCUUUUGAAAGUUUAAUGCCAUAAAAUAUUUUCUUUUGUUUCAUUUGUUACUUUUUCCAGCAAGUCUGGAUUUUAUGAGGAGCAGGUUUGGAUUGUAUAAGUUUGGCUUUUUCAAAUUGUAAAGAGCAAUUUAUAGUUUGUCAGCAAAGCACCUAGCCUUUUGACAACACAUCUUUUACUGAGUGGAGCAGCAAGCAUUUCUGUCAAAGCUAGCCAUAGGGUCUAAAUGAGCAUUUUACUUUUGCGUUCUCUGGGAUUAGAUGCGAUCUCAUGGGCAUGAAGAUUUAAAUGUCUGUUUAGAAUGAACUGAAUGAGUCAAUGGGCACUGACCUAAAUGAAAUGGCUUUGAUGACUGAGUUGAGAGACGGACUGAAGCUGCUAUUCUGGUAUCUUUGCAAGAUGGAUUAUGAUAGCACAAUGGAGGCCGAUACCUUCUUUUGCCUAACCCUCAGUGGCCUUGCAAGAGCUUCCAGAAUGAGCUACAGAUGUUGACCACCUAUUAUAACAUACCCUUGAUUAUUAUGCAUUGCCAACUUUGUAUUUAAGUAUUGGCAACUGCUUCCCAACUGGAAUGAUGUAGCCACAGUCCCUGCACUUCAUUGUGUUCACUGUGGUUGAGAUGUGACAUAUAUGUAAUAUGGAAUGAGAUAUGCUGUC